rnacentral:lncRNA from 1 species
AUGGGAUAUGGAUAUAAAUAUCCCUCUGACCUGAGGCUAUCUCGAUGAUUUAUAAGCAACUUAUGGUGCUCUGGUACCAAACUAUUCAAAUUUCUAAUUCGAUGACGGAAGAUUUCUGAGUACAGUCAAGUACUUGUGAAAUCUGAGUGUGAGUCAAGAUGGGAUUGAUCGCUCCAAGUAAAAUUAGAGAUGAUGCAUUACUGU